AUCAGUGGGGUGUCAUUGAAAAUGCACUUUCUGAUUCAGCAGGCCUGAGAUUCUGCAUUUCUAGUAAGUUCUCAGGUGGUGCUGAU
rnacentral:pre_miRNA from 10 species